UACGUAGGGCGCAAGCGUUGUCCGGAUUUAUUGGGCGUAAAGGGCGCGUAGGCGGUUUCUUAAGUUUGGAGUGACAGUGGGUGGCUUAACUACCCAAGGCCUCUGAAAACUGGGGAACUUGAGGACCAGAGAGGGACAUAGAAUUCCGGGUGGAGUGGUGAAAUGCGUAGAUAUCCGGAGGAAUACCAAAGGCGAAGGCAGUGUCCUGGAGGGUGACUGACGCUGAGGCGCGAAAGCUAGGGGAGCGAACAGG
rnacentral:rRNA from 1 species